rnacentral:snoRNA from 12 species
GCAGUGAUGACAUUCCAGAAAAAUGCACGUGUUAGACUGCUGACGCGGGUGAUGCGAACUACAGUCUGAGU